ACGUCACCGUCGCCCGGUCCCCGCCGCCAUUGGAGUUGGAGGGUCUCUCGCUCCAUCCCGGCUCGGGGCCAGCGCGGGGGGGACAGGCCGCGGGGCGCGGAGCGAGGGCGGGCGGGGAUGUGAGGAGAAGGGCCGGCAGGGCGAGCAGCGACCGGACCGACCCCCCCCCCCCGCCCCUCCCUCUUCCCCGGGGGGGCCUAGCCUGAGGAGGGACCCCCCCCGCCCCACACACACACACCGACCCGGCCCCUCCCCCGGGGCCCCGUCCGGAGCGCCCCUCGCAGGCCCAGCGGACAGGCGCUUCCCUUCCCCUUCCCCUCCCCCUCCCCCGCGCCCAGGAGGGGCCCGCGUUCUCGCCGUGCGCCUCCCCGCUGCGCGGAGGGGCCCGGGCCCUGCCCCCCCCCCAGCUCCCUGCUGACCGCGGCGGCCCCGUACAUGAAGGAUGUCGGCCACCAGCGUUGACCCCCAGCGACCGAAAGGACAAGAUAAUAAAGUACAAAAUGGUUCAUUGCAUCAGAAGGACACAGUUCAUGACAACGAUUUUGAACCUUACCUUUCUGGACAGUCAAAUCAGUGAAGAGAGUGGAAGAAACCAAGAGUCAAUUGAACACUUGAAUAAUAGCUAUCCAUCAAUGACUGAUCCCUAUUUGUCCAGUUAUUAUCCACCAUCUAUUGGGUUUCCCUAUUCUCUCAGUGAAGCACCGUGGUCUACUGGAGGAGAUCCUCCUAUCCCAUACCUCACCACCUAUGGACAGCUCAGUAAUGGAGACCAUCAUUUUAUGCAUGAUGCUGUUUUUGGACAGCCUGGGGGUCUGGGAAACAACAUCUACCAACACAGAUUUAAUUUUUUCCCUGAAAAUCCUGCUUUCUCAGCUUGGGGAACAAGUGGGUCCCAAGGACAGCAGACUCAAAGUUCAGCUUAUGGGAGCAGUUACAGCUACCCACCUAGCUCACUGGGUGGUACUAUUGUGGAUGGACAAACAGGAUUUCAUAAUGAUACUUUGAAUAAAGCACCUGGAAUGAAUAGUAUUGAACAAGGAAUGGUUGGACUUAAGAUUGGUGGAGAUGUAACAACUUCUGCUGUGAAAACAGUAGGUUCUGUUGUUAACAGCGCCGGAAUGACGGGUGCUCUCUCUGGUAAUGGUGGAUCCAGUGUAAACUUGCCAGUAUCUAAACCAACCUCUUGGGCUGCUAUUGCCAGCAAGCCUGCAAAACCACAGCCGAAAAUGAAAACAAAAACUGGGCCUGUAAUUGGAGGAGCUUUGCCUCCACCACCUAUAAAACAUAAUAUGGACAUAGGUACUUGGGAUAAUAAGGGUCCUGUGGCAAAAGUUCCUGCUCCCCAGCAAAUCCCAUCUCCUCAGUCUGUCCCACAGCCACAGCAACAAAUGGUUCAGCCUAUUCCAGCUCAACCUCCUCCUUUGACCCAGCCGCAGUAUCAAAGUCCUCAGCAGCCACCCCAAAACCGCUGGGUGGCUCCCCGCAACAGAAAUGCAGCUUUUGGCCAAAGUGGAGGAACUGGUAAUGAUAGCAACUCAACUGGCAGUACCCAGCCUAACUCUGUCCCAAGUGGUGAAUCCCAUCCCGUUCUUGAAAAACUGAAAGCUGCUCAUAGCUAUAACCCGAAAGAUUUUGAAUGGAAUCUUAAAAAUGGACGUGUGUUCAUAAUAAAGAGCUAUUCUGAGGAUGAUAUUCAUCGUUCCAUUAAAUAUUCUAUUUGGUGUAGCACAGAACAUGGCAACAAACGCUUGGACAGCGCUUUCCGAUCCAUGAAUAGUAAGGGCCCAGUCUACUUACUAUUCAGUGUUAAUGGUAGUGGACAUUUCUGUGGAGUAGCAGAAAUGAAAUCACCUGUGGACUAUGGCACUAGUGCUGGCGUCUGGUCUCAGGACAAAUGGAAGGGGAAAUUUGAUGUCAAAUGGAUCUUUGUGAAGGAUGUGCCCAACAACCAGCUCCGACACAUCAGGCUGGAGAACAAUGACAACAAACCAGUUACAAACUCCCGUGACACACAGGAGGUGCCCUUAGAAAAAGCAAAACAAGUGCUUAAAAUUAUUGCUACUUACAAGCACACAACCUCCAUCUUUGAUGACUUUUCCCAUUAUGAAAAGCGCCAAGAAGAGGAGGAGGUGGUGCGGAAGCUCCCAGUCAGUUUCUCAACUUUGAAUGAGCUAGUCAUUGAAUUGAUCUAGUUUAAAAACAAAUGAAGAAAAUACUUUCUCUACACCUCCAGAUGAGACUGCCAUUGUCAAAAGGUGGUUUAGCACUUCAAGAAACUCUGGUUCCAGGUGCUCAGCUUGUGGCUUCCAGUUCAAUGGAACGGCAGAAUCGAAACAAACAAUAAGAAUAAAUGUACACAAUUUGCUAUAUAUAAUAGAACUGAUAUUAAAUUCGACUAUGAAAAACAAAUCUUAAAAUGUAUUCUGGUGCUAUAUCCUGGCAUCAGGACAAACUAAAGCUUUCAGCUCCAAUAUAUCUUCUUGUGCAGGGGGAAUUAAGUUGUUGCCUCUUUAAGUACAUUGUAGUUUGUUUUUUGCCCAGGUGGAUCUGCAUUAAUUUGUAUCUUUUCUAUGUAAAAUGCUAUAGAAUCCAUUAAUAAAGGUGUAUCUGUUUUUAUUUUUUAAGUUAGUAAACAAUUAUACUGACCUAAUAUGGAACUAUAAAUGAGCAUCCUAAAAAUGUCAGUGUUUCCCAAAGACUCUAUUUUGGCACAAAUUAUGUUCCUGUUCUGAUUGAUAUUCAUCAUAAUUUUGUAUAUGACAGAAUUUCUCUCCUCUUCACCCCAAACCCUGUUUGUUCAUGGCAAUCAUAAGAAACCAUUGAGUUUUGUCACUUUAAGAAUGUUGUUUAAGAGAAAUACUGCAUUCAGAAUAUUGAAGUAAAAAAUUCAAGUUAAGAUCACUUUUUAAUUGUAAAAUUAUACUUUUAAAAAUGCUAACAUGCCACUUUGAUUUUUUCUAUCUCAAAGAAAAUCAAAUUCUGUCAGUGAAAUUUUCACUCUGAAAAUAUUUCCCUUUCACGUUCUGUUAACCAGUGCUUCAGUGUGUAUUUGUUAUACCCAUAUCCUGCAGAGAUAGUGAGAUGCUUUCUCUCAGCCAUAAUUCUGCUUUAUUGUUUUUGUAGCUUAAUAAAUAAUAAUGUAAAUGCUAUCAACAUUGCAGGGUUUUUGGACAAUGUGUUAAAACCUGUUUCAGCUUUCGGGUGUUAUUAGUUAAUUGCAGAUCAUUUUUAAUCUUUCCCUUUCUUUUCCCCCCCAAAUCCCAAUGCCAUUUAAAGUUUUUAUACCAAUAAUGCUGAGCUUUAAUGUAGAAACUAAUAGUAUGGACAAUAUGAUGGAUUAUGCCUCAGAUGUUUAAAAUUGACUGUGUAUGUCUAAUUUUUUUUCUGUUGGAUGAGUAAAAAAAAUGUUUUAAGAAACUGAAUUUGCUGUCAUGUUUUUGUGGAAUAAGGGAACCGUUGAAGAACUCGUCACCAACUGGAGUUUCAAUUAAGCAUGAAAAUUGUGCUCAUGCCUGUUGCUCUAGCACACUGAAUCUGCACGUGUUUAUUGUAGAGGAUCUUUUACUAUAUUAGAAAGCAAAUAUCGUCUUCUGAAAACUAUUUACUCCAAAAGGACCUCUGAUUUAAAUAAAGUUUAAGCUGUAUCAUUUAGACUUGUAUUUAGAACGUAUAACUUUGUCUCUGGACUGUCACUGCCUGUAAGGACUCAUGGACAGCAUCAGAUUAACUUUUUUCCUCUAGGAGAAUACAAGCCUUAAUAAACAAUACAUAUUUAGCAA